AUCUAAUGAUUAGGACACUGAUUCAGCUUCUUCUUGAAUCUUUCCCAAGUUUCAUGGAGGGCUUCAGUUAGAACCUGUCUAAAAGUAGUGAUUUUAUCUCUUAACU
rnacentral:snoRNA from 1 species